rnacentral:tRNA from 1 species
GCCAAAAUAGCUCAGUUGGGAGAGCGUUAAACUAUAGAUCGAAAGUCGCUGGUUCGAUCCCGGGUUUCGGCA